rnacentral:snRNA from 1 species
GGGCUCGCUAAGCAGACAACCCCUUUCCCUCCUCACCGGAAGCUUUGUGCUUGGUGCAAGAAGUCAGUCUCCUUCUCAAAUAAACAAGGACCAUCCUUCUGACUUGGAUAUGUGGGAAAUUGUGCUCCUCUGCUAAUCCUUCCAAAUGAUCCCUCAAGGUCCAAGAAGGAACUUGCAGGGUGUUUGUGAGGGGCAGAUGACAUCACAGAUAUAAAACACUCUGUAAACCCUGAGGGUUUCUUCCAUUUGGUU